GAUGAAGAACGUAGCGAACUGCGAUAAGUAAUGUGAAUUGCAGAAUUCAGUGAAUCAUCGAGUCUUUGAACGCACAUUGCGCCCCCUGGCAUUCCGGGGGGCAUGCCUGUCCGAGCGUCAUUGCUGCCCAUCAAGCCCGGCUUGUGUGUUGGGUCGUCGUCCCCCCCGGGGGACGGGCCCGAAAGGCAGCGGCGGCACCGUGUCCGGUCCUCGAGCGUAUGGGGCUUUGUCACCCGCUCGAUUAGGGCCGGCCGGGCGCCAGCCGACGUCUCCAACCAUUUUUUUCAGGUUGACCUCGGAUCAGGUAGGGAUACCCGCUGAACUUAAGCAUAACAAUAAGCGGAGGA
rnacentral:misc_RNA from 1 species